rnacentral:rRNA from 1 species
UACGGAGGGUGCAAGCGUUAUCCGGAUUCACUGGGUUUAAAGGGUGCGUAGGCGGGCAGGUAAGUCCGUGGUGAAAUCUCUGAGCUUAACUCGGAAACUGCCAUGGAUACUAUUUGUCUUGAAUGUUGUGGAGGUAAGCGGAAUAUGUCAUGUAGCGGUGAAAUGCUUAGAUAUGACAUAGAACACCAAUUGCGAAGGCAGCUUACUACACAAAUAUUGACGCUGAGGCACGAAAGCGUGGGGAUCAAACAGG